ACAGCUCAUGCCACUAAGCUGGGGAUCAUCAAAAGGAGGGGCACUGACUCAAAUCUCAAUCAUAUCUGGUUGGAGUUGAUCACAUGGGAAGAAAGACACCACACUACUUUUUACCAACAACUGCUUUUUACACAUAAUGAAAUCCUCCUUCUAGAUAAACAGGCCAGAAAUGGUGGUGAAAUUCUUCAACAAGCAAGAUUCACUUUCAGUGGGAACUCACCAUAGC
rnacentral:lncRNA from 1 species